rnacentral:rRNA from 1 species
UUCCGGUUGAUCCUGCCGGACCCCACUGCUAUCGGGAUAGGACUAAGCCAUGCUAGUCGUGCGCCUUCUAGCCAUGAUGGAGGCGCGGCACACAGCUCAGUAGCACGUGGCUAACCUGCCCUUGGGACGGAAGCACCCCCGGGAAACUGGGGCUAAUUUCUGAUAGGUGAAGGCUUCUGGAAUGGACUUUCGCCUAAAGGACGCUUGGAUCAUGCUUCUAGGCGUUGCCCAAGGAUGGGGCCGCGGCCGAUCAGGUUGUUGGUGAGGUAAUGGCUCACCAAGCCUAUAACCGGUGCGGGCCGUGGGAGCGGGAGCCCGGAGAUGGGCACUGAGACAAGGGCCCAGGCCCUACGGGGCGCAGCAGGCGCGAAAACUUCGCAAUAAGCGAAAGCUUGACGGGGUUAUCCCGAGUGCCAUCCGCUGAGGAUGGCUUUUCUCUAGUAUAGAUAGCUGGGGGAAUAAGGAGAGGGCAAGUCUGGUGUCAAGCCCGCGCGGUAAUACCAGCUCUUCGAGUGGUGUGGACGAUUAUUGGGCCUAAAGCAUUCCGUAGCCGGCUGGGCAAAGU